rnacentral:rRNA from 1 species
ACUUCUGUUGAAAUUCUUUCACAAGGUUGACCUCGGAUCAGGUAGGAAUACCCGCUGAACUUAA